CAAUAAAUACCUUCUAUCGAAACCCUAGCCACAAUCUUCCCCUUCUCCCUUCUGGUGUGCUCCUUCUGAUACACUCUUUCAUCGAAACCCUAGCCACGUUCAAGCAUUGCAUCCCUCAUUCUCAUGGGUAACGGCGAUUAUAAUAACAGGAUAUUUUCUGAGGCUUUGGCACUCUAUGAUGCUGUGAUUUCAAUUGAUCCAGAGAAGGCAUCAUACAAAAGCAACAAAAGCGCGACAUUAACCAGUUUGGGAAGGCUUCUAGAAGCGGUAUUUGAAGCCAGAGAAGCAAUCAGACUAGAACCGUUCUAUCAAAGGGCUCACAACCGUUUAGCCACAAGUACAACGGGUAAUAAACUUACAAACCCUAGAUUAUAUAAAACUUUAUUGAUUGAUAGAUUGAUUUUUUACAUAAGUUUGCUUUAGGAUGUAGAGUAUCCCCACCAGAUGUUUUAAAAGUCAUUAUUUAUGUUGAACUUUUCAUUUUAAAGCUUUUUUUGUCAUCAUUUUUACUGAUUUCCGACUGAAAAUAGAAUUGGGACUUGGUAUUUUUAUUUUGAUUAGUUUUUUUUAUUAGUUUAUCAACUUUAGUUUAAAGAGUCUGCCUACUGGUGUUUAAAAGUCACUAGUUAUGUUAACACUAAUGAAGGAAUCCUCAGAGAUACGAGGCUAUCCGAUUGAAGAGUUGGCAAAGAGUAGUUCGUUUUUUAGAUGUAGCCUACCUUCUAAUUUUGAAUAGUUCGCUGCUGAUUACGAAAGGGGGAUCUACAUCUUGUCGACCUACAACCCGCUCUAUCAAAGGCCUUGAACAAAAAUUUGCAGGUUUGAUAUUAGAAUUUUAUAAUAUGAAUGCAUCUAUUUCUUGAUCGUUUCAAGAAUGAUGAGAAUACUAAGGCUUCAUUUAAAAAUGGUAAAGGUAUAGAAGUUUUGAAAUUUGUAGUUCAUUACAAAUUUGUCUCGUAUCGUUCAGUUAUAUCUUUCUUUUUGCAGGGUUUUACAGCCAAAAAAUUGAAUCCGUCAGCGAUUGAACAAAAGGCAUCAUUAGAAUUAGUAAUAAGUGUCGACGAGUAGGUUAAUAAUCUUCCUGUUGAAUAUUAUUGAUUGGAGGUUAGGAAAUAUUACUUACAUGUUAAGAGAGCCCAACUAUUCAACCUUUUUAUUCACCGUUUUAUUAAGUAGGAGUGAUUCUUCAUUUCUUUUAAAACUUAAGAAAUUGUUAUAUCUCAGAUUGAAUGAUUUGAACUAUCCGACGAGUCCAAAAUGGUGCAGGUAUUUUGGUUGUUUCAUCAAGCGAGGAGGACCUAAUUAGCAUGUUGUGGAUCUUUUUUUAACACAUACAUGUUACGCCCAGUUCUGAAUGAUAUUCCAAAAUAUUAUAUUUUGGUCCACUAUAAUCAACAUGGAUCCCUAUAGAGUAUCUUCACUCUUUAAUGCCAGUUUUUCAUGAUAUUCAAAGAAACAAAUAUUUAUGUUAUGUCUUCAAAUGCGUUAAUUGGGGGAGCUUUACUCCAUACGUCAUAUUAAUGUACUCAUUUUUUGUUGUUGAAAAUAAUGCACAAGAGGUGUUUGUUGAAAUGGUUCAAAGAUACACACACACACACACACACAUAUAUACAGGUUUUGUUUAUGUAGUUUUGUAUGGAUUAAUUUGUUGACUGUUACUUGAAAUGUAGUUUGGUAUUCGGGUACCAAAGUUUAAAUUAGGUUAGUUUUUCACUGCCUAGCAAGAAUUGAUAUUAUCUGUUUCAUUUGAAAUGAUGCAUGAUAUAUUAGCAUAUGAAUAGUGAAAAAAUCUGACUUUUUGUAGCUACAAUUAAAAUGAUAUCCUGAAAUUUGUUUUAAUUUUCCUUUGUGCAGCCUGGAAAACUACUGAAACAUUACAGACUCUAUUUUGUUACGUAUUUGCUAGAAAAGAAACCAAGUUUGCUGCAAUAACAAAAAAGGAGAAAUAACAAGUCCAGGUUCAAGAGCAUGAGGAUAACAACAAAAAGAAAGAAGACCGGGCGACGAAAUCUGAGAAAGAAACAACCUCUGAUAAGUGCUUCCACGACGUAUAAUAUUGCAGCCUCAGUUGCUUCUUAUUUGCAUUUUCAAAGAAAGAACAUUAUUCCUUUCAAAUCUUAAUCUUCUGAAAACAACUUUGGUGAAGUUAGUAUUCAAGCAAUCACAAUGCAUCGUAACAUUGUGCCCUGAGCCUUUUCUUGCAAAUAUCCAAAUCGUGUAGCUGAGCUUCUUAAAGUAGUUAAUGGGAAUUUCCGAAAUCACCCCUUCCUUGAUAACCAUAGAAAAAUUAAUAAAACUUUGAUAUUCUUGAGGGUUGUCGUUGUAGUAUUAUUCAAACAAUUUGUAAAAUUGUUUGUUUCUGUGGUAGAAUUUGUUGUAUGCUC